rnacentral:rRNA from 1 species
GCCAGCCCGCUCAGAACUUAAAGGAAUUGACGGGGCCCGCACAAGCGGUGGAGUAUGUGGUUUAAUUCGAUGCAACGCGAAGAACCUUACCUGGUCUUGACAUCCCGGAGACCCUUAGGAAACUAGGGGGUGCUUCCAUCUGGAAGAAUCUGGAGACAGGUGCUGCAUGGCUGUCGUCAGCUCGUGUCGUGAGAUGUUGGGUUAAGUCCCGCAACGAGCGCAACCCUUGCCUUUAGUUGCCAGCAGUUCGGCUGGGCACUCUAAAGGGACUGCCGGUGUUAAACCGGAGGAAGGUGGGGAUGACGUCAAGUCCUCAUGGCCUUUAUGACCAGGGCUACACACGUACUACAAUGGCCGAUACAAAGGGCAGCGACACUGCGAGGUGAAGCCAAUCCCGUAAAAUCGGUCUCAGUCCGGAUUGGAGUCUGCAACUCGACUCCAUGAAGUUGGAAUCGCUAGUAAUCGUGGAUCAGCAUGCCACGGUGAAUACGUUCCCGGGCCUC